UGGAACCCACAACUGCCCUUUUUCCCAGGUGCUGUAUCCCAGGAAGGUGGGGGCUUUAUUUAUAAGUCCCUGAUGUGGGCUGCUGCCCUUUUUAAAGAUGCCCUGCCCAGCAAGAAGGGAGUCUUGUUACAGUAUGCCUGCAGAGGCCUUGCUGAGAGCUGCCAUGGGUGCCUCCCGGUUGCUCUGUAAACUGCCCAGUGACUUCAUUUACACAUGUAUGCUGCCAUGUAGAUUGCAGUUGAGACCAGCGUCCUUUAUCUUGGUUUUAUGGUAUUGUGAAAGAAUAUGUGGCCAGAGGGAAGAGGCUUGUCUUGUCAUGACUGCUUACUGAGGGGACUCUGUGCCUGGACUGUUCCCCCUCCCUCAUCUUCUCACCUAAUCUUCUGCAUUGAGCCAACUCAGUGGAACAGAAGAGAGUGUUCAGGACUGGAUGCAUUUUUUACUUUAACUUUACUCCCAAAAGGUAAUGACAAAAAGCAUAAUUUUCUUUCUACUGCUAGAGACGUUGUGACUUAGAGAAACUACAGGGAUAGUGAUUGGCAUAGUUUGACUUCCAUCUGAUACCUUCCCAAGCAGAAGGAAUUUAUUGUUUGCUACAAAAAUCAGCCACUUUAACAUCUUAGAGGUUGUUCACCAUAUAGUCAUUGGAAACAGGUAAAAUGCUUUUCAUAGAUAUUGCUUUUGGAAAAGUCAUCCUAAAGCUAGCAUCCUGGACAGCAAAAAGGUGGUCUGGUAACAGAACGGAUCGUAUAUUCUUUUUUUAGGGAGGAAAAAAUCUUUUAUUUUGAAGAACUAAAAGUGAUUUAUUCAUCCUACUCCAAUGGCAUACCAAGGUCAGGCAGUGGUGCAUACUGGGUAUAGACACUAAUUACUGAAUUUUAAAACAAUAAUAGAGCCAACUAAAAGUGGGUCUGUUUUUUAAUGAUCACCAGGCAUAUCAAUGCUAAGCAUUGUCAGUGAUGAAAUAACUGCAGUGAAAAAAAGUGUUUUGGUUUAUGUUCAGACAAUUAUUAUAGUUACAAUUGAGUAUACUAAU